AAGACUAUACUUUCAGAGAUUAUUUCUAUAGUUCAUUAGUAGAGAAGUUUCUCUGAUUAUGUAGAGUACCAGAAACCAUGAGGAAGAGGCACAGGUUCUCUCCUGAGUUGUGAAGACAGCUCUUAGUGUUGCUUCACUGAAACUGCUACUUGCUAUUGAGGAUCAUUCUUACUCUUUCAGAAAAGUAAGAAGGAGAGAGCACAGUCUGAGUGGU
rnacentral:snoRNA from 1 species